AUGCUAGUGAGCAAAUACGCCGUCGGAUUUGUUUUACUCGGGACCGGCUGCCUCGUAACGCAGUUCCUACAGGCUACGAUGUUUGGCUACUCCGGAGCGCUACUGACGAUGAGGGUUCGACAGCAGCUAUUCCACGCAGUACUCGGUCAGGAAAUAGCCUGGUUCGAUGAUCACAAGAACAGCGUCGGUAAGCUGACAACGCGAUUAGCGGUCGAUGCAUCCAACGUACAAGGGG